GUGUCUGUGGUUGACAUGAUGCUAAGAGGAGGAGGAUAAACUACGGCUCCGCCCACCUUGUGACUACCUGUUCAGUUUGCUGAAAGGAGGUUUUAUGACAAGAGGAGGCUGGAAAAAGUCACUGAGAGUAUCAUAUAAGAAACAUUAUUACCAAACAGAAAAGGCAGCAUGAUCAUCUUCUACCUGAUCGUUCAUUUGAACAUGUUUCUGGUUUCAGGCUCCUCGAACAGUGACAAAGUCGACCAGACUCCACGGGACAUUUUCAUCAAACCGGGCAAAAAUGCCAAAAUGAACUGUAAACACAAGAUCGAUAACUAUAACCAGAUCCUCUGGUACAAGCAGUCAAACAAACAGAUGCAGCUCCUGGGAUAUAUGUUUACAACCACCUCAAAUCCAGAGACAGACGUUAAAGUGAAGAUGGAAGGGGACGCGAGUAAAGGAAAGAACUGCACGUUAAUAAUCGAGCGAGUCAAUCAGAGCAGCAGUGCGGUCUAUUUCUGUGCAGCUAGUUUCCACAGUGCUGCAUGUCACUACUCAGCAGUACAAAAACCUCCUCUUCAUCUCUACUGAACA